rnacentral:rRNA from 1 species
UUGCUGUGGUAUUUUGACUAUACGAAGGUAUUGAAAUAAGAUUUUAAAUGAGUGCUAAGAGAAUGAUUAAACAAUUAAAAGCUUUCUUUAAUUAAAUAAUUGAAUUUAAUUUUUUAGUGCAAAAGCAAAAAUAAAAAUUAGGGACAAGAAGACCCUAUGAAUUUUUUAUUAAAUUUUAUAUAAAGUUUUAUAAAAUUUAAUUUAAUUGGGGUGAUGGAAAAAGAAUAAAUAUCUUUUUUUUAAAGAAAAUUGGUUCCGUUUUUAGCGAUUAAAUGAAAAAAAUACUCUAGGGAUAACAGCGUAAUAAUUUUGGAUAGUUCAUAUAGAUAAAAUAGUUUGCGACCUCGAUGUUGGAUUAGGAU